rnacentral:rRNA from 1 species
UACGUAGGGACCGAGCGUUGUCCGGAAUCAUUGGGCGUAAAGAGCGUGUAGGCGGCUUGCUAAGUCUUGCGUGAAAUCUCGGGGCUCAACCCCGAGCGGUCGUGGGAAACUGGCAGGCUAGAGUGCGGGAGAGGAGAAUGGAAUUCCUGGUGUAGCGGUGAAAUGCGCAGAUAUCAGGAGGAACACCGAUGGCGAAGGCAGGUCUCUGGGCCACUACUGACGCUGAGAAGCGAAAGCAUGGGGAGCGAACAGG